UACCAGCACCCCGAGUGGUCGGGACGUUUAUUGGGCCUAAAGCAUCCGUAGCCGGUUCUACAAGUCUUCCGUUAAUCCACCUGCUUAACAGAUGGGCUGCGGAAGAUACUAUAGAGCUAGGAGGCGGGAGAGGCAAGCGGUACUCGAUGGGUAGGGGUAAAAUCCGUUGAUCCAUUGAAGACCACCAGUGGCGAAGGCGGCUUGCCAGAACGCGCUCGACGGUGAGGGAUGAAAGCUGGGGGAGCAAACCGG
rnacentral:rRNA from 1 species